GUUUAAAAAAAAAAACAAUUUGAAAGUGCAACAAAUGUCUGAUCAUUGAGUUCAGGUCUGUUGUAUCGGUAACUUAUAAAGUAUGGUCUAAUGAAUUAAAAUUAUUUUAAAAAUAAAGUUCUUUAAAAAGAGUGAGAGGUAUUUGUGAAUGUUGCCAAAGUUAAAAUUCAGUAGGGUUAGCCUCAAAGCCUUAUAAAUUAACAAAUGUUUAUGGAAGUAGAAAGUCUGUGUUUACUUUCUGCACUGAAUGCAUUUUUGCUAAUAUUGUUGGGUAGUUAAGAUUCUCAGAAUUUGCUUAAAAUACCAUCAGGAAUCAAAAUCUUAUCAGGAAAAGAUCCUUUCUAUCUAUCUUCAUGCUCUUGAUGAGUAUUUGCGAGUUCAAGAAGCAAAUCUUGAGUAUGGAAACUUUUUAGAUGACCUAUUUGUAGAUUGUCUUUUUCUACCAUUUUGUGUCACUAAAAUAAAAUGUUUUUUGCUUGUCCAUUUCAACAGGCCAAAAACAAGUUAAGUGCUGCAAGUAAAUUGAAUGAGUAUACUCUGUUCUUUGUAGGAACACUUACUGUGAAAAGUAACUUUCUGCACAGCAGCAUAUUUUCUCUUCAGAAGUCUUACGCUGAAUAUUAAAGGAGAAUAGAUUAAGUAGUUCCUAGUGUACUCAUGUUCAGUGUAUUCCUCAGUCUCCUCAGUAUCCUCAGUCGCUUCAGGAACCCUGAUGUGUGGUUCUGGUAAGUGGUGUUCUGUAUUAACCUAUAAAAGGAAAGGUGAGUCUCAGGGUUUUUUAGUUCUGUGUAUUGUUAAAGACUUUCUUGAAACAGUAGCGGCUGUAAUAGUAGAACUCUGUGUGUGUGUGUGUGUGUGUGUGUGUUUGUGUGUUUUGAUGCUGAUACUGUUACUUAAUGUAGUUUUUUUCUGUUGCAUGUAAUGAGUUUACCAUCAGCUUGAACAUAACGGUUACUUACGUUUUCAUCUUAAAAGAUGCUAGUCAAAGAGUCUUCUCCAGCUAUGUUCACAUCCAUUAAAUCACAGUGGCUAGAAGAAACGUAAUAUCUGAAUGUAUAAGGCAUUUUUAUGUAUGUUAUGAAAAUUAAUGCUAGUUCUUCAGAGUUAAGUGUUCUGAACAGAGUCCAGUUUGGUCUACAGGAUUGUGCUUUCAUGAGUUUCACUGAAAUUAUGUCAGCUUUCACCUGAUGUUUUCAUACUUAAUUACUGUAGGAAGGGCUAUCUUCACUGCAGUAGCUCUCGACUCUCUGAAAGUGUUUAUCAUGGCAGCCUGUGGAUCUUAUGCCCACAAGAAGUAAUGAAUCUUUCUAUUCCUAACAAUCUUUUUCAGGUGUACCUCAUGUUUGCCACUUCUGCUUGCAUGAUACGCAGAUCAUUGACCUUGAGCAAUUCCUGAUGGAGAUAAAUGAUGCGAAAUUGAUAAUGCUGCAAGAAGGAAUUGGCACUCAUCU
rnacentral:lncRNA from 1 species